ACUCCUACGGGAGGCAGCAGUGGGGAAUAUUGCACAAUGGGCGCAAGCCUGAUGCAGCCAUGCCGCGUGUGUGAAGAAGGCCUUCGGGUUGUAAAGCACUUUCAGUCGUGAGGAAGGUAGUGUAGUUAAUAGCUGCAUUAUUUGACGUUAGCGACAGAAGAAGCACCGGCUAACUCCGUGCCAGCAGCCGCGGUAAUACGGAGGGUGCGAGCGUUAAUCGGAAUUACUGGGGCGUAAAGCGCAUGCAGGUGGUUUGUUAAGUCAGAUGUGAAAGCCCGGGGCUCAACCUCGGAAUUGCAUUUGAAACUGGCAGACUAGAGUAUUGUAGAGGGGGUAGAAUUUCAGGUGUAGCGGUGAAAUGCGUAGAGAUCUGAAGGAAUACCGGUGGCGAAGGCGGCCCCCUGGACAGAUACUGACACUCAGAUGCGAAAGCGUGGGGAGCAAACAGGAUUAGAUACCCUGGUAGGACAGUG
rnacentral:rRNA from 1 species